rnacentral:rRNA from 1 species
UGCCUACGGGGGGCAGCAGUGAGGAAUAUUGGUCAAUGGGCGGAAGCCUGAACCAGCCAAGUCGCGUGAGGGAAUAAGGCCCUACGGGUCGUAAACCUCUUUUGCCGGGGAGCAAGGGCGGGGACGUGUCCCGGCCCGGAGAGUACCCGGAGAAAAAGCAUCGGCUAACUCCGUGCCAGCAGCCGCGGUAAUACGGAGGAUGCGAGCGUUAUCCGGAUUUAUUGGGUUUAAAGGGUGCGUAGGCGGGCUUUUAAGUCAGCGGUAAAAAUUCGGGGCUCAACUCCGUCCGGCCGUUGAAACUGGGG